AGCUGCUGGAAACUCUGGCCCAGCUGCGGGAGGACCGGCAAGUGCGUGUCCUGCUCUUCAGAAGUGGAGUGAAGGGCGUGUUCUGUGCAGGCCCCCAUUGCCGUGCGGCUGGGCAAAGUAGCCAUUGACCGAGGAACGGAGGUGGACAUUGCAUCUGGGAUGGCCAUUGAAGGGAUGUGCUAUGCCCAGAAUAUUCCAACCCGGGACCGGCUAGAGGGCAUGGCAGCCUUCAGGGAGAAGCGGACUCCCAAAUUUGUUGGCAAAUGACCCCCAUUUUAACCUUCAGCAUGGGAGAUGCAUGCCCUGAAGAGCAGGAUCCAGAAGGAAGAUUUGUGGCCAGAUUGCCUUCAUCAUUUCACCUCUCCAGACUUCCAUUUCUUCACAAGGAUGAUGAUGGAAAUAAAAUGACUGGCGUGAUGCCUGGAACCAAGGUGCUGAUCCUACCACCUACUGCUACCUUCCUUAGCUUCACCCUGGCUAGAAAUAAUCACGAGGGUUGGGUUUGCUUUGGAAAAUGCCUGUCUCUCUACUUGAAUGAUAAAGAAUUAAAUUAGA
rnacentral:lncRNA from 1 species